rnacentral:tRNA from 1 species
CUGUAGUUCAGUUGGUUAGAGCGUCAGAUUGUGGUUCUGAAUGUCGUGGGUUCGAAUCCCAUCAG